UACGGGGGGGGCAAGCGUUGUUCGGAAUUACUGGGCGUAAAGGGCUCGUAGGCGGCCAACUAAGUCGGACGUGAAAGCCCUCGGCUUAACCGAGGAACUGCGUCCGAUACUGGAUGGCUUGAGGUUGGGAGAGGGAUGCGGAAUUCCAGGUGUAGCGGUGAAAUGCGUAGAUAUCUGGAGGAACACCGGUGGCGAAGGCGGCAUCCUGGACCAAUUCUGACGCUGAGUGAGCGAAAGCCAGGGGAGCAAACGGG
rnacentral:rRNA from 2 species